UACAGAGGUCUCAAGCGUUGUUCGGAUUCAUUGGGCGUAAAGGGUGCGUAGGCGGCGCGGUAAGUCGGGUGUGAAAUCUUGGAGCUUAACUCCGAAACUGCAUUCGAUACUGCCGUGCUUGAGGACUGGAGAGGAGACUGGAAUUUACGGUGUAGCGGUGAAAUGCGUAGAUAUCGUAAGGAAGACCAGUGGCGAAGGCGGGUCUCUGGACAGUUCCUGACGCUGAGGCACGAAGGCCCAGGGGGAGCAAAACGGGGAUUAGAAA
rnacentral:rRNA from 1 species